UUUUUUUUUUUUUCCUCGUAAGGACAGGCCUUUAUUAUAACUAUUUGCAAUAUAAAAAUAAAACAUCACGUGCUAGAGGAAUAAUGGAGAAAUGUAAGCCUCAGCAAGAAUCCCACAAUGCGAAUUCCUGGUUCCUGGGGUUUCUGCAAUGCUCAUUUAGGGAAGAUCUUUUAAGGAAACAUAGAGCCCACCAAUGAUCUCUUUAUGAUCCACGCAGAAAAAUUCCACUGGCCACUUGGCAUCCCCCCAAGGCACCAAGAAUUAAAAGAAAAGGUGCCAGGAAAGCAUCCACUUUCAGGUACGGAAUCCUUAAUCCAAGGGAGGCGGUGACUUUAAGAAACUCUUCGGUGAAACUGACAUUUAUAAGAAUCAAGAAAGGGAACCUUCAGUAAAAAUGUGGUGAGCAGAAGCUCUGGGGCCCUUAAUAUAGUUUAUCUUUCACAUAAAGGUAUCUUGAAAACCUUUACACAAGUCCUUUAUGAGGGAAUAAUUUCUGAGCUAGGGCAGACAAUGGUCUUUCAAAUCCAUUCUCAGUUCAGAAAGCAUUUGUAAGGAGGAUUUUUUUCCCAGCCACCGCAUGAGAAGUGUGUGAUGCCCUUGGAAAUCUCUGUAAUUAACAAUAAGCCUCUUUCACAAUUGAAAGUGGACCCUCAUACCCUAAAGUAGCCACUGAUGCUUCUAUUUCUGACCUACACCCUUCAUUUUAUGCAAUGUCUUUGUAAAAACCAAGGGCAAGAACAACCUGGAGAGAAAUUUUCAAAUUUUGGACCAGAGCCACCAAAUCAAUAAUGGCGGAACAAAAUGAAUUAUCAACCUCCACUGCUUCAAUCACAGGGAAAGGCGAGGAGUUAGCCAAAAGAGAAACUGCGGUCAAUGUUAAGAAACAGAAUGAAUUGACUUUGAGGUAGGCUUAUAUCUAAUUAAAUGAGACUGGGGGCAAAGUCAAGGUAGACUCAUCCGCAGCUGAUAAGGAAGUGAUCAGAGGCAGGUGACUCAGCUCAAUUGAACUGCGUGUUCCAAGCCGGGAGGGAGAGCAGAGACUGUUACAGGGGGAGUUGGAAGACACGGGGGAACUGCAAGCUUGUCAGAGGUGUGUUUUCCUUCAUCCUGGGACUGUAUGCAUUCAAGAUCUCAAAGUCCCACCACUAGUAAUUAAGUUGCCGUCAACAUCCGCGGGGUCAGCAGGAGCCCAAAGGAACCAAACCCUGGCGGUGGGGUGACACACGAGCUAAAUGCAGAAGUGGUGAGACAUUCCUGCCACUGGUUUCCCAGCUUGGGUCAUUCCAUCAGUCUAUGAUACCUGUGAGUCUGGGAGGGGUACACAAGAUACAUCUACAGGCAAAAGAUACUCCUGGUGGCUUCUUCAUGAAUUCCUUCAAGACUUGGCAUGAGGAGAGUCAUAAAAUGGGAUCCAACCUACCACCUGCCCCAGCAAUGAUGACACCCCCCCUUUUUUGGAAGAAAGGGGAUUUCUAAGGAUUCUGUGCAUCACCCCGAGUUGAACACAGAAAUGCUGCAAGAGCCCAGUUAGCAUCUGCUUUUAGCCUAGAGGCCUCAUCAGGUACCAAGAGCCUAUGCAGAUAAAUGAAAUCUCCCCACAUCCACCCCAAGCUGUGGUUACACCUAUAACCUGCACGAGGGAAAACUGAACUGAACUUUCACAGCAGACACUCAGAUCAAAGAAGGAGCAGCCUUCUUCCACUGUGUCCUGAGCCUUACCAACGCAUAUUAACUUCUCCUGCUCCAUUUGCAAACACACAGUGUUCCUUAAAUGCAUAUAAGUGACACCCUGUGCUUUUGAAACACUCUUAAAUAAGCUCAAGAUGACUCAUCAUUUUCUGGUCCUGUAGAGCUAAUUAUAUGUUCAAAAAUCCCUUCAAAAGUCACAAAACCUAUCUCAGUACCCUCAAUGCUUUUUUUUUAAAGAUUUUAUUUAUUUAUUCAUGAGAGGCACACAGAGAGAGGCAGAGACGCAGGCAGAGGGAGAAGCAGGCUCCAUGCAGAGAGCCCGAUGUGGGACUCGAUCCCAGGACCCCGGGAUCAUACCCUGAGCUGAAGGCAGACCCUCAACCACUGAGCCACCCAGGCGUCCCUCUCAAUGCUUUUAAAUGGCAAAAGGGUUAACCAUGAAGGGGUGAGCCUAGCAAGACCACUAAGAAAUGAACGUGAACACUGAAAAUAGGCCUUUGGCCCUUCUCUAGACCUGAAUUCACAUGAGUUGUGCCCGCUCUUAUCAGGAAAUUAUAGAUCUUAUUAUUGGGGAACUGGGUGGCAGGUGCCAAAAACAUUUAAAUUCGCUCCAUUUCCAAUUCAUGAAGCCCAUUGUAGCUUGGUAUUAUGGUUUUAUUAGAUUUGUGCAUUUAUCCGGGAACCUAUUAUUAUAAUAAAAUACAAAAUACAAUUAUUGUUUUCUUGCAGUGAGAACUUCAGAACUAUCUAACACUUUAUUGUUCCCCCAUCAAAAGAACUCCCAAGUUUGGAUUUUUUUUUUCUCUUUUUUUUAGAGUUUUAAAGAAAUGGCGCUUCCUCUAUCUACUUUCCAUAACGGUCCCUAGUUUAUGCUGCUUAACAGGAAAAGAAAAAAGGAAUUGAGAGGGAGGCCAUAAGUCACAUCAGUUUUCCUUUAAUUACAGUAUUAUCCUUAUAUUUCUCAUCUUUUCUACCCUUAUCUCUGCCCAGCCAAAUCUCCACUCCUCAUUCAGUGCUCAUUAAUUGAGAUGGUGUUUGGGGAAAGUUGAUAUAUAGAUAAGGGUUUCAUAUGGCCGAGUGCUCACCUACUAUUACACACCAAAUGGAGUUCAAUACCCGUAAUGGUCAAUUUAGCUACUUGUCAUAUGAUACCCACUCCUUCACCCAUCCCGUACCGAGGCUCUCACAAUUCCUCUUUUCUCCUCUCUCUUUCCACUUCAUGUUAUUAUUUUCUCUCUUUGUCAGAGAAUGAAAAACGUUUUAGAAAUACUGAGGGGAAUCACAUGAGAUGUGAAACACCACAGAAUUAUGCUCGGAUCACUGACUUUAGCGUUGGAAGGGGCCGUGGAGAUCAUGUCAUCCAACCUGUCAUUUUCUAGAUGAGGAUACUGUGACCCCGGAAGAUCACACCGCAGUUAGGGACAGCUACUGUUACUGUCACCUACUUCUUGGGUAGCUACCAGUAAGCCCUGACUCAGUGCCCAACAUCCAGCCAGUGGCAACAUCUCCCACAGUCCCGGAGACGUGAGGUAGGUGCUAAUACUUCUUUUAUUUUAGAGACAGGGAAACUGAUGCCCGGGGAGGUUACAUAAUUUGCCCAAAGACACACCGAUCGGGAGCGGCAGAGUCGAGACUCAAAUCCGUUUGUCUGAUUACAGGGCCUUACCUCUAACCACCACACAGAAC
rnacentral:lncRNA from 1 species